rnacentral:rRNA from 1 species
UACGUAGGGGGCGAGCGUUGUCCGGAUUCAUUGGGCGUAAAGAGCUCGUAGGCGGCUUGGUUAGUUGGGUGUGAAACCUCCAGCUUAACCUGGAGACGCCACUCAAUACUGCCAUGCUAGAGUCCGGUAGGGGACCACGGAAUUCCUGGUGUAGCGGUGAAAUGCGCAGAUAUCAGGAGGAACACCGGUGGCGAAGGCGGAUCUCUGGGCCAUUACUGACGCUGAGGAGCGAAAGCGUGGGGAGCGAACAGG